GGUGGCUCAGUGGUAGAGUGCUUGCCUUGCAUGCAUGACGCCCUGGGUUCCAUUCCUCAGCACCA
rnacentral:tRNA from 1 species